rnacentral:rRNA from 1 species
GAACUGAAACAUCUAAGUAGCCGGAGGAGGAGAAAGAAAACUCGAUUUCCUGAGUAGCGGCGAGCGAAAGGGAAAGAGCCCAAACCAGCGUGCGUGCAUGCUGGGGUUCGGACCGCGGAUGUGAUCCUUUGAUCUUACCGGAAUGGUUUUGGGAAAGCCAGCCGGAGAGGGUGAAAGCCCCGUACGGGAAAAGAGAGAAGGCACAGCGGGAUCCAGAGUAGGUCGAGACACGUGGAACCUUGACUGAAGGAGCGGGGACCACCCCGUAAGGCUAAAUACUCCUUGGUGACCGAUAGCGCAUAGUACUGUGAAGGAAAGGUGAAAAGGACCCCGGGAGGGGAGUGAAAGAGAACCUGAAACCCUGUGUUUACAAGCUGUGGAACACCUUUAUAUGGUGAACCGCGUACUUUUUGUAGAACGGUCCGGCGAGUUGCGCAUGCAGGCAAGGUUAAGCACUAAAGGUGCGGAGCCGUAGGGAAACCAAGUCUUAAUAGGGCCAGAGUCGGUAUGCGCAGACCCGAAACCGGGUGACCUAUCCAUGUCCAGGUUGAAGCUGCCGUAAAAGGCAAUGGAGGACCGAACCCACAUCCGUUGAAAAGGGUGGGGAUGAG